rnacentral:rRNA from 1 species
ACUCAAAUGAAUUGACGGGGGCCCGCACAAGCAGCGGAGCGUGUGGUUUAAUUCGACGCAACACGCAGAACCUUACCCAGGCUAGACAUGCUACUGCAAGCCGCUGAAAGGCGGUCGCCUUCGAGGGUGUAGCACAGAUGCUGCAUGGCUGUCGUCAGCUCGUGUCGUGAGAUGUUGGGUUCAGUCCCGCAACGAGCGCAACCCCCACGGUCAGUUACACGUGUCUGGCCGGACUGCCCUUCGGGGAGGAAGGCGGGGAUGACGUCAAGUCCGCAUGGCUCUUACGUCUGGGGCAACACACACGCUACAAUGGCCGUCGCAGCGCGUUGCGACACAGCAAUGUGAAGCUAAUCGUCAAGGACGGUCUCAGUGCAGAUCGGGGGCUGAAACUCGCCCCCGUGAAGGCGGAGUUGCUAGUAACCGCGUAUCAGCUAUGGCGCGGUGAAUACGUACCCGGGCCUUGUACACACCGCCCGU